rnacentral:lncRNA from 1 species
AAGGAGCUGUGGGACAGGAGCUCAUGCCCAGAACCGAGUUGUGCCCUGCUGAGCUCUCUGCCACGUACUUAACAGGAUGAAGAACCUUUCAUUUCUCCUCCUUUUCCUUUUCUUCCUUGUCCUGGGGCUGCUGGGCCCCAGCAUGUCACUGUGUCCCAUGGAUGAAGCCAUCAGCAAGAAGAUCAAUCAAGACUUCAGCUCCCUACGUGAGGAUCCCCCCAUCCAACCUUACUGAGGGCCUCACAGACUAGCCUCAGCCUCAAACUCACCCUGUCUACAAGCUCCGACCCAACCUCGAACUGCCUUACCUUGACCAUGGUUCCAACCCACAACCUAGCUUCUUCCAACCAUUACCCCCAAACCUCCUCUCACUCCAAAAGGCCCCACUCUGUGGUCCACGGAGCCUCCAGUGCCUGAAUCUCUUGCCUCAGCCCCCUGAGUGUUUGGAGCCACCGUGCUGGGCUCUCUGGGGGCAAAAUAUUUUUCUGCAAACAUGUAUGCUGUUCAUGUCUGUGUAUGUGUGUUUAUAUAUGUGGUGCACGACGUAAGUGAAGGCACGCGUGUGUGCUUAGGCAUGUGGAGGCUUGAAGCUGAUGUAGUGCUGUCAUCCCACUCUCAGUUGAACCCAGGGCUUGUGGGUUUGUGAUCAUCUCUUUAGCCAUCAUGCUCUGGGCCUCCCUGUCUGCCUGUCUCCUGAAUGCUAGGAUUAUAGGUGCCCCCACACCAUG